CGGGACCCGCACAAGCGGUGGAUGAUGUGGAUUAAUUCGAUGCAACGCGAAGAACCUUACCUACCCUUGACAUGUCCGGAACUUGCCAGAGAUGGCUUGGUGCCCGAAAGGGAAUCGGAACACAGGUGCUGCAUGGCUGUCGUCAGCUCGUGUCGUGAGAUGUUGGGUUAAGUCCCGCAACGAGCGCAACCCUUAUCAUUAGUUGCUACGCAAGGGCACUCUAAUGAGACUGCCGGUGACAAACCGGAGGAAGGUGGGGAUGACGUCAAGUCCUCAUGGCCCUUAUGGGUAGGGCUUCACACGUCAUACAAUGGUCGGUACAGAGGGUUGCCAAGCCGCGAGGCGGAGCCAAUCCCACAAAGCCGAUCGUAGUCCGGAUUGUUCUCUGCAACUCGAGAGCAUGAAGUCGGAAUCGCUAGUAAUCGCAGGUCAGCAUACUGCGGUGAAUACGUUCCCGGGUCUU
rnacentral:rRNA from 1 species